rnacentral:lncRNA from 10 species
AAUUGUAUGCAUAUAGUAUUUAUAUAAAACAGAAAACAAAGACAAAUAAGUAACUAUAUGUUAAUAUAAUUUGUUUCAGGCACCAGUAACUUUGAAUCACUGGAAAAUUUUACAACUGGGCAUAAACUGCAAGUAGUAAUGACAAUAAAAGAUUUAUACUUAAAAACUAAUCCCAAUUGAAAACAAAUGAGAAGGGUUUUUAAGAAGCUGGAGUGCCUUCUCUACUCUCACUCAUUAUCCGCCAACCGAAUGUAGAGGACUCUGAGGCCAUUAGGGAGGGCAGAGACAUGAGAUGGGAGGAGCCUGGGUCUCAACAUCACUACCUGAAGAAAAGCUACACCCAUCAACCAGGAAUCCCUGCAUUGAUUUGUGAGCAUGAAGUCACUGAAAGCAGAUGAUUUGUUAUUUCAGAUAGCGUCACUCUAGAUCACUGUCAAGCAAGACGAGAAUAUUUCAAGAGGAAGCCAUGACUACUACUUUCUCAAUAAAUAUAUGAACAACUUCUAUAAACUAAAAGCCUA